GCCAGUGUGGUGCAGUGGUUUGAGCAUUGAACUACGACUCUGGGGACCAGGGUUCAAAUCCCCACUCAGUCA